UACGUAGGGUGCUAGCGUUGUUCGGAAUCAUUGGGCGUAAAGAGCGUGUAGGCGGCCAACUAAGUCCUGCGUGAAAUCUCGGGGCUCAACCCCGAGCGGUCGUGGGAAACUGGUUGGCUAGAGUGCGGGAGAGGAGAGUGGAAUUCCUGGUGUAGCGGUGAAAUGCGCAGAUAUCAGGAAGAACACCCGUGGCGAAGGCGGCUCUCUGGAACGCAACUGACGCUGAGACGCGAAAGCGUGGGAGCAACAGG
rnacentral:rRNA from 1 species